rnacentral:misc_RNA from 1 species
AAGAGCCGCUUAAAGCAGCUGGUUUUAAGAUAUUGCGCUUAGACGGGUCAAUGAAUGCAAAAAAGAGAUGCCAGGUCAUUAAAGAGUUUGAAAUCCCAGCUCCGGAGGGGCCUACCAUCUUGCUUGCAAGUCUAAAAGCUUCAGGUGCUGGAAUAAAUCUUACAGCUGCUUCUAGAGUCUAUCUAAUGGAACCUUGGUGGAAUCCCGCAGUUGAGGAGCAAGCUAUGGACAGAGUCCAUAGAAUUGGACAGAAGGAAGAUGUGAAGAUUGUGAGGAUGAUUGCACGAAGCACCAUUGAAGAACGGAUACUGGAACUGCAGG